UACGUGAGGGCCUAGCGUUGUCCGGAUUUAUUGGGCGUAAAGAGCUCGUAGGCGGUUUGGUGAGUCGGGUGUGAAAUCUCCAACGCUCAACGUGGAGGGGCCACCCGAUACUGCCAUGACUAGAGUCCGGUAGGGGAGUGUGGAAUUCCCGGUGUAGCAGUGAAAUGCGCAGAAUAUCAGGAGGAACACCGGUGGCGAAGGCGGGUCUCUGGGCCGAUACUGACGCUGAGGAGCGAAAGCGUGGGGAGCGAACAGG
rnacentral:rRNA from 1 species